AUACAGACCUGACAGGGGAGAUAGAGCUAGCAAGAACAUGGGUUUCCAAGGGUGACUUAUCCACUUGGGAUAUGCUGACCUUUGUGAUUUUCCCAAGUUCAAGAAACUUGACUGAAUAAUUUGUGGUAGUUGGUGACUGUGUUCCUGCUCUCCCCUG